AUGAAGAUGAGCUUGCCAUGCGUUCUCCUUCUCAUUCAGCUCAUUGAAGCCUGUGCGGAGUUGAUCUUUCGUCAGCAGACGGACGGCCAGUCCCUGGAGCUCUCCUGCUCCCCUCAGCUGCAGCGCGGCGCUCCCACCGGCCUCCACCUGUACCACCGCGGCGCCCGCAGCCAGACCACCCUGCUGUCCAUGGCCGAGGGCGGCGGCGGCCCGAGGCUCAACGCGGAACACGUGGGCCGCCUCAGGCUCGCCGGAGGCCUGGACAGCCGGCAGGUCAACGUGACCGUGGCCCUUUUGCAGCCCAGUGACACGGGCCUCUACGUGUGGGAGCUGAGCUACGGACGGGGGAACCGCUCUGAGCAGAUGGUCCUCGGUGCUCCGACGGUGUUCUUGUUGGUUGAAGGCGCAGGAGGGUCCUGCCGGUGCUCAGCCAGUUACCCUCUUCUGCUCCUGAUCAUCUUUACCGUAGCGGGGCUUCUUCUGCUCACACUCGGCCUGCUGGCCUUGGAGAAAUGUGUGAAGUCCCGGCAUCAUCACAGACCACAACCCCCUGUUCCCAUCUACGAGGAAAUGACCUGCAAGCAGCGCAGUCCGGUGGCCCCCAAAAAUAACCCUGAGGCCCCCUCACACCUGGAGGAAGUAAACUUCCCCGCGUACGCCGACACGGACAUCCGGCAGCCACAGGACAACUACUAUGCAUGUCCCAGGCAGCUCGCCCUCAGGGCCUGA
ensembl:lncRNA